rnacentral:rRNA from 1 species
UGGGGAAUAUUGCACAAUGGGGGAAACCCUGAUGCAGCCAUGCCGCGUGUGUGAAGAAGGCCUUCGGGUCGUAAAGCACUUUCAGUUGUGAGGAAAGGUUAACGGUUAAUACCCGUUAGCUGUGACGUUAGCAACAGAAGAAGGACCGGCUAACUCCGUGCCAGCAGCCGCGGUAAUACGGAGGGUCCGAGCGUUAAUCGGAAUUACUGGGCGUAAAGCGCACGCAGGCGGUUUGUUAAGCUAGAUGUGAAAGCCCUGGGCUCAACCUGGGAAUUGCAUUUAGAACUGGCAGGCUAGAGUUUUGGAGAGGGGAGUGGAAUUCCAGGUGUAGCGGUGAAAUGCGUAGAUAUCUGGAGGAACAUCAGUGGCGAAGGCGACUCCCUGGUCAGUAACUGACGCUCAUGUGCGAAAGUGUGGGUAGCGAACAGGAUUAGAUACCCUGGUAGUCCACACCGUAAACGCUGUCUACUAGCUGUUUGUGGAUUUAAUCCGUGAGUAGCGAAGCUAACGCGAUAAGUAGACCGCCUGGGGAGUACGGCCGCAAGGUUA